UACGGGGGGAGCAAGCGUUGUUCGGAUUCAUUGGGCGUAAAGGGUGCGUAGGCGGCGCGGUAAGGCGGGUGUGAAAUCUCGGGGCUUAACUCCGAAACUGCAUUCGAUACUGCCGUGCUUGAGGACUGGAGAGGAGACUGGAAUUUACGGUGUAGCGGUGAAAUGCGUAGAUAUCGUAAGGAAGACCAGUGGCGAAGGCGGGUCUCUGGACAGUUCCUGACGCUGAGGCGCGAAAGCUAGGGGAGCGAACGGG
rnacentral:rRNA from 1 species